rnacentral:rRNA from 1 species
CGGUAACUGCCAUUAGAGGGGGAUAACUAUUGGAACGAUAGCUAAUACCGCAUAACAGUAUGUAACACAUGUUAGAUGCUUGAAAGAUGCAAUUGCAUCGCUAGUAGAUGGACCUGCGUUGUAUUAGCUAGUAGGUAGGGUAAUGGCCUACCUAGGCGACGAUACAUAGCCGACCUGAGAGGGUGAUCGGCCACACUGGGACUGAGACACGGCCCAG